AUGAGAGGCACCCAAUGGCCUUCACCCCACCGAGCUUCAGCCUUGGCAUCAGUCAAGAUCAACCAGUGGUGGCGCAUCCAAUGGUUGAUGGCAGGAAGUUUUGUUUCCAUGCUGCAUUUUUCAUUCGGCAAGCACAUGGCAACUAGAGUCGACACAACAUGGCAACUAUAUUUGCUGUCACAUGGUAUCCUAACCCACUUUUUUAUCCUUGCAGGCACCCCUGAGGAGAUUUCACCGUCACUUGAUGAAUGUUACCGUAGGAUCGAGGAGGCAGCAUUGCAGAGGAAGUCCUCACGAGGUCGGGGGCAAUCAAGUUCCAAUGUGCCUGCAGAUACGGUAUCUGAGGAUACCAUUAGGAGUGCCACCCCUGGUUCUGUGAGGCAGCAGAGGGUAGUUCACCCACCUCUCGCGGAAGACUACGAGCCCGAUGUCAGGGCCACAAAGGAACAGACCCAGCUGUACAAUAUUGUCAAGCGAUUUGGAAAUGCGAGGGUCAGCAGCAAGCACAUGAAGGGGCUGAAAGCGUAA
rnacentral:rRNA from 1 species